AGGAAUCUAAUUGUUGGAUAGAGUGCAAUGUGCUCGGCGAAGUCGGCGCUCUCAGAACAUCCUGGUAAAAGGUGAAACAGCCAUCCGACACCAGCCUCGGGUACCUACGCCCCCUGGGCUCGGGAGUAGCUUACAACAGGAUGGGCGCGGCACCUCCCCGGCCACCAGGAGACCCUGGCCCAGCGGAUGUGCUGCCUCUCCCCUGUUCCUUGCUGAACCCGCAGCCUUUCCAAGUAAUGCUACAUCCAUCUGACAUUAUGCGGAAGGGAAAGAAAAGAUGCCAACAUUAAUGAGCUCCUACUGUGUGCCAGGCAUUUUACAGACUAUUUCUUUACAGCCCUUUGAGGCCUUUAGUAUAAUCCAUUAACAGCUACGGGCUCCUGUUAGCACUGCACCAGGCACAUUACUCAACCCCUGUAGAUGGCCGCUUCUUCACUUGGAAAAUGACCUAUGAAAUAAUCUCCUCCAGAGGUCACCUUUUGCUCCAGUGAUUGCCAUGGCAACCAGCUUCACGCAGGUGUAACCUGACAGCACCACACGUCUCCUACUUUCUGCAGCAGAAAGUGCAUUCGUGCACAAUCUGGGAAAGCAAGGGUGUUAACACCCCACAAGACAAUGGAUGACCAAUGGGGAGCAAAUUCCUGUAGCAUGGAGCCCCUUUGUUCACAGAAUGGAAUAAAGCAAUAACUUACUCUUGAAUUGACUUUCCCUCCUUUACUGGCAUGCUCUUUCCAUUCCUCCUUCAUAAUCCUUGGGACUACUUCCCAAAUAAAUUAGUGUCUGAAGCCCUGGUCUCAGACCCUUCUUCCCUGGGGAAGCCUAAGAUAAGACAGUGAGGUUAGACUUGGGUUUUGAAAGUUGAACGAGACCUUUCCAAGUGUAGAGAGAGGGAAAGUGCAUUCCAGGCCAAAAAAAAAAAACAAAAACGCAGCAGCAAAGACAAUGAGGCAUGGACAGCAUAAGGCAGGGCUGGGGAUUUGCAGCGACCUUCUGUGGCUGAA